rnacentral:rRNA from 1 species
AUUGAACGCUGGCGGCAGGCCUAACACAUGCAAGUCGAGCGGAUGAAGGGAGCUUGCUCCUGGAUUCAGCGGCGGACGGGUGAGUAAUGCCUAGGAAUCUGCCUGGUAGUGGGGCAUAACGUCCGGAAACGGGCGCUAAUACCGCAUACGUCCUGAGGGAGAAAGUGGGGGAUCUUCGGACCUCACGCUAUCAGAUGAGCCUAGGUCGGAUUAGCUAGUUGGUGGGGUAAAGGCCUACCAAGGCGACGAUCCGUAACUGGUCUGAGAGGAUGAUCAGUCACACUGGAACUGAGACACGGUCCAGACUCCUACGGGAGGCAGCAGUGGGGAAUAUUGGACAAUGGGCCAAAGCCUGAUCCAGCCAUGCCGCGUGGGUGAAGAAGGUCUUCGGAUUGUAAAGCACUUUAAGUUGGGAGGAAGGGCAGUAAGUUAAUACCUUGCUGUUUUGACGUUACCAACAGAAUAAGCACCGGCUAACUUCGUG